GUCAAGUAUGGUUGCACGAACCUGUAAUAUUUGCUACUAGGAAAGGCUAAGGCUGGUGGAUCCCUUGAGCUCAGGAGCUCUGAGCUGAAGAAGAGGUACAGCUCACUGGGUAUCUACACUAAGUUCUGUACUAAUAUGGUGAGCCUCUGGGAGCAAAGAAUCACCAGAUUGCUUAAGGAGGGGUGAAAUGAUCCAGGUCAGGAAAAAAAAGGGGGGCAGGUUAAAGCUUCUGUGUUAGUAAGAUCAGGUUGAGUGGCUGCUGUACUUGCAGUCUGGAUGAGAUAGGGAGAUCCACGUU
rnacentral:SRP_RNA from 1 species